UCUUCUUCAUCCUCUUCUUCUGACCAUUCUUCUUCAUCGAACAACUCUUCCUCAUUAAUUGAUGCAUUUGCCCCUUCAUCGGUUAUUUGUUCUAUAUCAACCUCUUCUAAUAUGUGUUCAGGAUGCUCUAAAUCAUUUUCUAAUUCAACAUCCACGGUAUGGUGAACACUUGAUACAUCAUCAUCCUGGUACGCAACAUCCAACACGUUUUCAACUUCCACACGACCCAUGGGUUUGGUUUUAAUCACCACCCACCAAUCUAAUUUAUCUGGACGCAAGGGAUAAGGAGCAUAGUACACUUGCUUAACAUUUUGUGCAAUAAUGAAAGGAUCAUAUGCUUCAU
rnacentral:lncRNA from 1 species